GCCUUUCCAUGGUGAUCGUCAAG
rnacentral:siRNA from 1 species